GCCGCAGAUCAGGCGCGAGAUCCCCCAGCCUCUCUCCUAAAGCGGGUGUCGCAGGUUCGAAUCCUGCCGGGGGCACCA
rnacentral:tRNA from 1 species